rnacentral:rRNA from 1 species
GAUGAACGCUGGCGGCGUGCUUAACACAUGCAAGUCGAACGAUGAAGCCCAGCUUGCUGGGUGGAUUAGUGGCGAACGGGUGAGUAACACGUGAGUAACCUGCCCUUAACUCUGGGAUAAGCCUGGGAAACUGGGUCUAAUACCGGAUAGGAGCGUCCACCGCAUGGUGGGUGUUGGAAAGAUUUAUCGGUUUUGGAUGGACUCGCGGCCUAUCAGCUUGUUGGUGAGGUAAUGGCUCACCAAGGCGACGACGGGUAGCCGGCCUGAGAGGGUGACCGGCCACACUGGGACUGAGACACGGCCCAGACUCCUACGGGAGGCAGCAGUGGGGAAUAUUGCACAAUGGGCGAAAGCCUGAUGCAGCGACACCGCGUGAGGGAUGACGGCCUUCGGGUUGUAAACCUCUUUCAGUAGGGAAGAAGCGAAAGUGACGGUACCUGCAGAAGAAGCACCGGCUAACUACGUG